rnacentral:rRNA from 1 species
UAGGGAAUCUUCGGCAAUGGGGGGAACCCUGACCGAGCAACGCCGCGUGAGUGAAGAAGGUUUUCGGAUCGUAAAGCUCUGUUGUUAAGGAAGAACGAGUGUGAGAAUGGAAAGUUCAUGCUGUGACGGUACUUAACCAGAAAGGGACGGCUAACUACGUGCCAGCAGCCGCGGUAAUACGUAGGUCCCGAGCGUUGUCCGGAUUUAUUGGGCGUAAAGCGAGCGCAGGCGGUUAGAAAAGUCUGAAGUGAAAGGCAGUGGCUCAACCAUUGUAGGCUUUGGAAACUGUUUAACUUGAGUGCAGAAGGGGAGAGUGGAAUUCCAUGUGUAGCGGUGAAAUGCGUAGAUAUAUGGAGGAACACCGGUGGCGAAAGCGGCUCUCUGGUCUGUAACUGACGCUGAGGCUCGAAAGCGUGGGGAUCAAACAGG